ensembl:lncRNA
CAUCAGGAAGUUCACCGUUCACUUACUGCUGAAGCCUGGCUUGGAGAAUUUUGAGCAUUCCUUUACUAGCAUGUGAGAUGAGUACAAUUGUGUGGUAGUUUGAGCAUUCUUUGGCAUUGCCUUUCUUUGGGAUUGGAAUGAAAACUGACCUUUUCCAGUCCUGUGGCCACUGCUGAGUUUUCCAAAUUUGCUGGCAUAUUGAGUGGAGCACUUUCACAGCAUCGUCUUUCAGGAUUUGAAAUAGCUCAACUGGAAUUCCAUCACCUCCACUAGCUUUGUUUGUAGUGAUGCUUUCUAAAGCCCCCUUGACUUCACAUUCCAGGAUGUCUGGCUCUAGAACUGCUUUUGAGCUGUGGUGUUGGAGAAAACUCUUGAGAGUCCCUUGGACUGCAAGGAGAACAAACCUUUUAAUCCUAAAGGAAAUCAAUCCUGAAUAUUCAUUGGAAGGACUAAUGCUGAAGCUGAAGCUCCAAUACUUUGGCCACCUGAUGUAAAGAAUUGAUUCAUUAGAAAAGACCCUGAUACUGGGAAAGAUUGAAGGCAGGAUGAGAAUGGGAUGAUAGAGGAUGAGAUGGUUGGAUGGCAUCAUUGACUCAAUGGACAUGAGUUUGAGCAAGCUCCAGGAGAUGGUGAAGAACAGGGAAGCCUGGUGUGCUGCAGUCUAUGGAGUCAUCAAGAGUUGGACAUGACUGAGCGACUGAACAGCAACAACUCUACAGAAACUUUAAUUGCCCUUAAAUUUCUCCAGCAUUUUUUCUGGAAAUCAUCAGGAUAUUUCAAGGCUACCAUGAUAAUCUCUGAUUUCUUCUAAUACUCUUCUAGUAUUUGUUCUCUUUAUUCACUGGGUUUAACCAUGUAACUGUGAUGGACUAAGGAUAAGUUCAUUUCCCUUGAGGGAUGACUCAAUAGUUUAAUCCAGGACUGUCUUGAUACCAGUUUGCAAGGUCAUUUCUCCAAGAUCAGUUUAUUCUUCCAGGACUGUGAGUAGUUAGAUUUUGCCCAUUAAAACAAACAAACAGGAAAAUGGCUUAAAACAACAUAUCAAUUAAGUCAACUGAAAGGUCAUUCUACAGUUUAUCUCCUAUUCUGUUUAUCAGUCAAAUUAUGUCCAGCCAUAUGGAAUAAAAUAGAUUAAUCACAGAUUCUGCAAUGAAAUUAUAUGACAUAAUUAAGAUAAAAUGCAAAAAAUUCUAAUAAGUAAAUGCUAAAGAAGGAAAGCUAUGACAAACCUAGACAGCAUAU